UAGGGAAUAUUGGACAAUGGGCGCAAGCCUGAUCCAGCCAUGCCGCGUGAGUGAAGAAGGCCCUCGGGUUGUAAAGCUCUUUUGUUGGGGAAGAAAAGCAUCCGGUUAAUACCCGGGUGUUCUGACGGUACCCAAAGAAUAAGCACCGGCUAACUUCGUGCCAGCAGCCGCGGUAAUACGAAGGGUGCAAGCGUUACUCGGAAUUACUGGGCGUAAAGCGUGCGUAGGUGGUUUGUUAAGUCUGAUGUGAAAGCCCUGGGCUCAACCUGGGAAUGGCACUGGAUACUGGCAAGCUAGAGUGUGGCAGAGGGUAGUGGAAUUCCUGGUGUAGCAGUGAAAUGCGUAGAGAUCAGGAGGAACAUCCGUGGCGAAGGCGACUGCCUGGGCCAACACUGACACUGAGGCACGAAAGCGUGGGGAGCAAACAGG
rnacentral:rRNA from 1 species